ACUUUUUUAGAAAAGUAUCGUGAAUUCCCAUGUCUUUGGAAAAUAAAAUCCAAAGAAUACUUAAACAAAAACUUAAAAAGUGCCGCGUAUGAUGAGCUCGUCGAUUUAUGCAAAACAAUCCAUCCUGCAGCAAACCGUGACUUCGUGGUGAAAAAAAUCCAAGGACUUCGAGGUUCCUACAGGAAAGAACUGAAAAAAGUUUUAAAUUCAAAACGUUCUGGCAAUGGAGCUGAUCAAAUUUAUAAGCCGACUCUCUGGUAUUAUGAUUUAUUAAAAUUCACCAUAGACCAAGAAACUCCAUCAAACAGCAUAUGUAAUAUUGGUAACAUAUGUAUCAAUGUUUCUGAUAGUUGUAACGAUGAAACAAAUGAGGAAACAAAUUUUGAACAGAAUAAUGACGACGAUGAUGGAGGAUCAGUGUUGGAGCUUACAAAUAUAGAUACAGCUAGUAUUAUAGAUCAGCCAACAACUUCGAAGUUUUUCUCUGCUCCUCAGCCAGCACAGACACUG